AUUGAACGCUGGCGGUAUGCUUAACACAUGCAAGUCGAACGGUAGCAGGCCUUCGGGCGCUGACGAGUGGCGGACGGGUGAGUAACGCGUAGGAAUCUGCCUCAUAGUGGGGGACAACGUGGGGAAACUCACGCUAAUACCGCAUACGCCCUACGGGGGAAAGCGGGGGAUCUUCGGACCUCGCGCUAUGAGAUGAGCCUGCGUUAGAUUAGCUAGCUGGUAGGGUAAAGGCCUACCAAGGCGACGAUCUAUAGCUGGUCUGAGAGGACGAUCAGCCAAACUGGGACUGAGACACGGCCCAGACUCCUACGGGAGGCAGCAGUGGGGAAUAUUGGACAAUGGGCGCAAGCCUGAUCCAGCAAUACCGCGUGUGUGAAGAAGGCCCUAGGGUUGUAAAGCACUUUCAAUAGGGAGGAAAACCUGUCGGUCAAUACCCGGCAGCUUGACAUUACCUAUACAAGAAGCACCGGCUAACUCCGUGCCAGCAGCCGCCGUAAUAC
rnacentral:rRNA from 1 species